ACCUAAUUGAUCCUGCCAGUAGUCAUAUGCUUGUCUCAAAGAUUAAACUAUACAUGUGUAAGUAUGAACUAAUUCAAACUGUGAAAUUGUGAAUGGCUCAUUAAAUCAGUUAUAGUUUGUUUGAUGGUAUCUACUACUCAGAUAAUUAUAGUAAUUCUAGAGCUAAUACGUGCAAUAUACCCUAACUUUUUGAAGGGAUGCAUUUAUUAGAUAAAAGGUUGACACGAGCUUUGCUCGUUGCUUUGAUGAUUCAUGAUAACUCGAUAAAAUAUAUAGCCUUUUUAUCGGUUACGCAUCAUACAAAUUUCUACCUUAUCAACUUUCAAUGGUAAGAUAGAGGCCUACUAUAGUGGUGAGGGUGAUGAAGAAUUAGGGUUCGAUUCUGGAAAGAGAGCCUGAGAAACUGCUACCACAUCCAAGGAAGGUAGCAGGUGUGUAAAUUAUCCAAUCCUGACAUGAAGAGAUAGUGACAAUAAAUAAUAAUACUCGACUCUAUAAGUUUGGGGGCAUUCGUAUUUCAUAGUUAGAGGUGAAAUUCUUAGAUUUAUGAAAGAUAAACAAUUGCAAAAGCAUUUGUCAAGGACAUUUUCGUUAAUCAAGAAUGAAAGUUAGAGACUAAAAAAUGAUCAGAUACAGUCUUAGUCUCAAUUAUAAAUGAUACCAAUCAAAGAUCAACAAAUGUUACUUUUAGGACUCUAUCGGUACCUUAUGAGAAAUCAAAGUUUUUGGGUUUUGGGGAGAGCAUGGUCAUAAGGCUUAAACUUAAAGGAAUUGAUGGAAGGGCACCACCAGGAGUAGAGCUUGCGGCUUAAUUUGACUCAACACAGGGAAACUUACCAGGUCCAAAUAUAGUAAGGAUUGAUAGACCGAAAAGCUCUUUCUUGAUUCUAUAGGUGGUGGUGUAUGGUAGUUCUUAGUUGGUGACACGAUUUGUCUAGUUAAUUUCAUUAACGAAUGAGACCUUAGCUUGCUAACUAGCUAUGUGGAGGUGAUCUUUCAUGGCUAGCUUUUUAGAGGGACUAUAGUCACUUAGGCCAAGGAAGCUUGAGGUAAUAACAGGUCUAUAAUGCCCUUAGAUAUUCUAGGCCACACACACAUUACACUGAUGUAUUCAAUGAGUUUAUAGCCUUGGUCGAUAGGCCUGAGUAAUCUUUGAAAUUACAUCAUGAUAGGGAUAGAUCAUUGCAAUUGUUGGUCUUCAACAAGGAAUUCCUAGUAAACAUGAGUAAUCAACUCACAUUGACUACAUCUUUUCCAUUUGUACACACUACUUGUUACUUCUACCAAUUGAAUGGUUUAGUGAAAUGUUUGGAAUAUGGUGACGUGGAUGAUUCACUGCCCAUGACAUUAUGAGAAGUCUACUGAACCUUAUCAUUUAGAGGAAGGAGAAGUCAUAACAAGGUUUCUAUAGGUGAACCUACGGAAG
rnacentral:rRNA from 1 species